UCUUGUUUCCCCUUCUGGAAGGGCUAUUCCUGGUUUUCAACUUGACUAUAUAUGGAAUGGACUACAAUCCAGAAUUGGAGGGCUCAUCUGUGAUCCAGAUCUUGAGGCUGGAAGACACAAGUUUCUGACCUGGAUCUAGGCACGGAGAUCUUGAGGCAUAGUGGCUAUGAAAAGCUUAGGCCCAGGCAAGGUAGUACACGCUUUUAAUCCCAGGAGAUUGAAGCAAGGAGAUCUCUGAGUUCAAGGUCAGCCUGGGACAAAACAAGUUCCAGAUCCUGGUGUGGUGGUGCACACCUUUAAUCUGGGUCACACCUUCUGCUGGAGACCUACAUAAGGACAUUGGAAGAAGGAAGAUUCGCUCUUCUUCACUGGCUUGCAUUUAUGUGCGCACAUCUGUUGGAAUCUACUUCUACAGAAGACCAGCAGAAACAACCAGCCUCCUGGGACUGAGCAACUACUGGAUUCUUGGACUUCCCAUUCAAAGCUGCCCAUUGUUGGGUUAGCUGGACUACAGAUUGUAAAUCAUUACAAUAAAUCCCCUCACUCUAGACAGACAUCCCAUAAGUUCUAAAACUCUAGAGAACCUGUCCAAUACACCCAUCCUUGUCCAGA
rnacentral:lncRNA from 1 species